rnacentral:tRNA from 1 species
UAUUUUUAAUUGACAUAGACCAAGUCAUCUAGUAAAAUUAAAAUGAGGAUGAUGCAUCGGG